rnacentral:rRNA from 1 species
AGUGAACGCUGGCGGUAGGCCUAACACAUGCAAGUCGAACGGCAGCACAGUAAGAGCUUGCUCUUACGGGUGGCGAGUGGCGGACGAGUGAGGAAUACAUCGGAAUCUACUUUUUCGUGGGGGAUAACGUAGGGAAACUUACGCUAAUACCGCAUACGACCUACGGGUGAAAGCAGGGGAUCUUCGGACCUUGCGCGAUUGAAUGAGCCGAUGUCGGAUUAGCUAGUUGGCGGGGUAAAGGCCCACCAAGGCGACGAUCCGUAGCUGGUCUGAGAGGAUGAUCCGCCACACUGGAACUGAGACACGGUCCAGACUCCUACGGGAGGCAGCAGUGGGGAAUAUUGGACAAUGGGCGCAAGCCUGAUCCAGCCAUACCGCGUGGGUGAAGAAGGCCUUCGGGUUGUAAAGCCCUUUUGUUGGGAAAGAAAAGCAGCAGGUUAAUACCCCGCUGUUCUGACGGUACCCAAAGAAUAAGCACCGGCUAACUUCGUG